UCCUAGUGGCGAACGGGUGAGUAACGCGUGAGUAACCUGCCUCAUACAACGGGAUACCCGAGGGAAACUUCGGUUAAUACGGUAUAAGGCCACACUACCGCAUGGUAGAGGGGUAAAAGGGGCAACCUGGUAUGAGAUGGACUCGCGUCGCAUUAGCUAGUUGGUGAGGUAACGGCCCACCAAGGCGACGAUGCGUAGCCGACCUGAGAGGGUGAUCGGCCACAUUGGGACUGAGAUACGGCCCAGACUCCUACGGGAGGCAGCAG
rnacentral:rRNA from 1 species